rnacentral:rRNA from 1 species
AUUGAACGCUGGCGGCAGGCCUAACCCAUGCACGUCGAACGAGUGGCGGACGGGUGAGUAAUGUCUGGGAAACUGCCUGAUGGAGGGGGAUACCUACUGGAAACGGUAGCUAAUACCGCAUACCAUCGGAUGUGCCCAGAUGGGAUUAGCUCGUAGGUGGGGUAACGGCUCACCUAGGCGACGAUCCCUAGCUGGUCUUAGCGGAUGACCAGCCACACGGGAACUGAGACACGGUCCAGACGCCGACGGGAGGCAGAAGUGGGGAAUAUUGCACAAUGGGCGCAAGCCUGAUGCAGCCAUGCCGCGUGUAUGAAGAAGGCCUUCGGGUUGUAAAGUACUUGCAGCGGGGAGGCGUUACCCGCAGAAGAAGCACCGGCUAACUCCGUGCCAGCCGCCGCGGUAAUUC